AAAGAAGUAGAAAGCAAAGAACUGAAAUUGGCUCAACUAGAAGAAAGAAAGAAAUUAAUGAAAGCUAGAAAAGACUUAGGUAUUCAUUAUUUUAAGUAGCUAAAAUAUUUUUAUAUCUGUAAACGUUUAUUUAAUG